CAAAUUUUCAAUACGUCCUAAGUAACAAAAUAAACAAAAAUGAGGUUUUUGUAUAUUUCAAUACCUAAUAAACUGCUUUACACUAUUGUGCAAAAUAAAAAAUCAACAGUAAUUAAAAUCUUUUGAAAUUGAAAAAAAUAAACCGACCUAAGUAACAAAGUGAGCACUUUUCAAAUGUGUCGCUUUGUCGUUACAAUGACUUAUGUAACGCUCAUAACUCCCACCUGACGUAAGUGCGCUGUCAAAACGUCCUAUGUAACAAAAUCAUGUAAACACGAUUGAAAAGUGUUUACGCCAAAACAAAAACACUAUUAACCCGAACCUCGAUCGAAAUAGUCUCCGGUGGAAGCUCUGGUGGAGGGAAACCCAGCCUACCGGUACUGAAAUCGGCUACCAAGUCAAGCUAGCAGUGUACUGUGACACUCUCAGCACAAAAAAAGGUGUUUCCGGAAGUAAUACAUGAGGUGAAAAGUGUUCUCCCGCUGCAAGUGCAACCGGAAGCAAUGGGAGCAAUGGAUCAUCGUCCUCUAGGCUCUAGAGAUAUUGAUUGCGACAAGGAUCAAGAUAGAAGCGAGGAGAAAUAGAAAAAUUACCGUCGUCGUUUGCACCGAGCUCAUCCUCGUUUUGCUUCGCCUCGGUUUCAAACCCCAUCCACUUCCAUCGGUUCUGCAUCGUCAGUUCAGUUGCAACAGCGACUCUGGAAGUUCAUGUAUUAAUGCAGCAAUGCAGGCAAGAACUUACAUCGUGAAACUCAGCUCUGGCGAAAUUAAGCUGAACAUUAGCGACCACAAAAAAGUGCUCCGAAAGUGGCAGCAGCAUCAAGUCUUCCUCGCUAUAGUCGUCAACUUCCAAGAGGAGCUCAAAAUCCGGAACCAAGCCACCAAGUAUCUCCAGUGGGU